rnacentral:rRNA from 1 species
AUUGAACGCUGGCGGCAUGCUUUACACAUGCAAGUCGAACGGCAGCGCGGGCUUCGGCCUGGCGGCGAGUGGCGAACGGGUGAGUAAUGCAUCGGAACGUGCCCAGUAGUGGGGGAUAGCCCGGCGAAAGCCGGAUUAAUACCGCAUACGACCUGAGGGUGAAAGCGGGGGACCGAAAGGCCUCGCGCUAUUGGAGCGGCCGAUGUCGGAUUAGCUAGUUGGUUGGGUAAAGGCUUACCAAGGCGACGAUCCGUAGCUGGUCUGAGAGGACGACCAGCCACACUAGGACUGAGACACGGCCAAGACUCCUACGGGAGGCAGCAGUGGGGAAUUUUGGACAAUGGGGGCAACCCUGAUCCAGCCAGGCCGCGUGCGGGAAGAAGGCCUUCGGGUUGUAAACCGCUUUUGUUCGGGAAGAAAUCCUCUGGGCUAAUACCCCGGGGGGAUGACGGUACCGGAAGAAUAAGCACCGGCUAACUACGUG